rnacentral:rRNA from 1 species
AACAAUUAAUAAAUUAAAUAAAAUUAUUUUAUAAAUAAUUUUUUUGUUUAAUUAAAAUGAAAUAAAUAAAUAUUAAGUGAAAUUUUAUUUAUUUAAUAAUUUUAAUUAAAUUUAAUUUUUAUUUUAUUAAAUUUAAAUUUUAAAAUA